rnacentral:rRNA from 1 species
UACGAAGGACCCGAGCGUUAUCCGGAUUCAUUGGGUUUAAAGGGUGCGAAGGCGGAUUGAUAAGUCAGUGGUGAAAUCCUGCAGCUUAACUGCAGAACUGCCAUUGAUACUGUCGAUCUUGAGUACAUUUGAAGUGGGCGGAAUGUGUCAUGUAGCGGUGAAAUGCUUAGAUAUGACACAGAACACCGAUUGCGAAGGCAGCUCACUAAACUGUAACUGACGCUGAGGCACGAAAGCGUGGGGAUCAAACAGG